UACGUAGGGGGCUAGCGUUGUCCGGAUUUAUUGGGCGUAAAGCGCGCGUAGGCGGCUUUUCAAGUCGAUUGUGAAAUCCCCGGGCUUAACCUGGGAACUGCAGUCGAGACUGUCUGGCUAGAGUAUGGGAGAGGGAAGUGGAAUUUCAGGUGUAGCGGUGAAAUGCGUAGAUAUCUGAAGGAACAUCAGUGGCGAAAGCGACUUCCUGGACCAAUACUGACGCUCAUGUGCGAAAGCGUGGGGAGCAAACAGG
rnacentral:rRNA from 1 species